AUUUUUAAUAUCUUUUUUUUUUUUCGCAUAAUUUUGGCUAAAUUAUUUGGUACUCUUCUGUUAUCGGGUCCAAAUUCAGAAUUAUAGGUAUGUAUGGCAUGCUUGUAUGGAUGGAUAGAUGUUUUCAUGUAGGCAUGUGUAUAUUGUACGUACAUGUAGUAUGUGUGUGUGUAUACUUAUAUAUGCAUAUACAUAUGUACACACAUACAUUUUUUAAAUCCAGCCCCAAUAACAGAAGAGUACCAAUUAUUCUAUACAUCUUUGUGUAAAUUAAUGUGUUAUUUUUUAUGAGAAUUUUUUUUUUUUGGUAAAAUAUUUAUAAAUUUUGUAUUAAAGAAGGGUAUUUUGCUUAUUAGUUAACCGGCUACUUCACCAUUCUUCAUGGAAACGGAAAUUUGGGUUUCACAAGCGCACAUCUUCAACUUCUAUUCUCUUCACAUCUGGCCUAGACAAUAAUACAAGCUCAUCUCGGCCAACUUGUCCAGUCUGCAACAAAUGUUUCUAUAAUUCAGGCACACUCAAUAGACACAUAGAAAUUCAUUUUUUGAAAAGAAAGAAUUAUAAAUGUGACAUGUGUGACAAGAGAUUCUCUUGGAAAAAUGCCCUUAAUGCACAUUUACGUCGUGAUCAUGAUGUGGAUAUAUGAAAUUUUGAAAUGCGCAAUGAAGCACCUACUAGUGGCUGAGUGGAUAAGACCACUGAACAGCUCAACUCGGCUUCAAUUCUAGCAAAUGGGGAAAGCUGCCUAAAUAGAUGCUUUUUUGGAUGAUUAUCUAAGAAAAACUGGCUUAUAUUCAUAUUACACAUGAAAAAAAUCACAAAAACAUCCAUGUAACUAACACCUGUUCACUAGGAUUCAAACCUGGAUGGGCAAAUUCUUCCAAUGUUGCUUACAGAUUCUGUUGUUGAUGUGUUUUCUCGGCAUUCUGAUUGCAGUGAUGCCUUUCCAUGCCCUUUUUGCUCCAAAUCAUUUAAAACAAAUCAACUUCUGAAGCAGCACCUCAAUCUUCAUUCAACAAAAUUACUGUUUUGUCAAGUAUGCAAUGCAUCAUUUAAAUGGCGGUCUUCUAAAUGGAGUCAUAUGAAAAGAUACCAUCCAAACCAAAUUUCAAGUACUUCUACAAAAAGAACAUUUCAGGAAACAACUUGAAGACUUGCAGAGGCAAUUGUAGUUAUGUCUUUAAAUGGAUAUAAUGUUUUUAACUAUUUUUUUUACUGUUUUUCUAUUAUAUUUGCAUGCCAUGUAGAAGCAAUGAGCUAAUAAGUUUUAAUGUAAUUAUAUUUUCAAAAUAUUAAAACAUUUAUUUGCUGAAUCA